rnacentral:rRNA from 1 species
GAGUUCAGACGUGUGCUCUUCCGAUCUCCUAAAGCAUCCGUAGCUGGCUGGGCAAGUCCCCUGUUAAAUCCAGCGAUUCAAUCGUUGGCGUGCGGGGGAUACUGUUCGGCUAGGGGGCGAGAGAGGCCGUCGGUAUUCUCGGGGUAGGGGUGAAAUCCUAUAAUCCCAGGAGGACCACCAGUGGCGAAGGCUGUCGGCUAGAACGCGCUCGACGGUGAGGGAUGAAAGCUGGGAGAGCGAACUGGAUUAGAUACCCGGGUAGUCCCAGCUGUAAACGAUGCGCGUUAGGUGUAUCGGUGACCACGAGUCACCGAGGUGCCGAAGAGAAAUCGUGAAACGUGCCGCCUGGGAAGUACGGUCGCAAGGCUGAAACUUAAAGGAAUUGGCGGGGGAGCACCACAACAGGUGGAGCCUGCGGUUUAAUCGGACUCAACGCCGGAAAUCUCACCGGAUAAGACAGCUGGAUGAUAGUCGGGCUGAAGACUCUACUUGACUAGCUGAGAGGAGGUGCAUGGCCGUCGUCAGUUCGUACUGUGAAGCAUCCUGUUAAGUCAGGCAACGAGCGAGACCCACGCCAACAGUUGCCAGCUCGUCCUCCGGGAUGGUGGGGACACUGUUGGGACCGCCUCUGCUAAAGAGGAGGAAGGAAUGGGCAACGGUAGGUCAGCAUGCCCCGAAUUAUCCGGGCUACACGCGGGCUACAAUGGGUGGGACAAUGGGUAUCGACACCGAAAGGUGAAGGCAAUCUCCUAAACCCAUCCUUAGUUCGGAUUGUGGGCUGCAACUCGCCCACAUGAAGCUGGAAUCUGUAGUAAUCGUGUCUCAACAUGGCACGGUGAAUAUGUCCCAGAUCGGAAGAGCGUCGUGUAGGGAAAGA